GACGAACGCUGGUGGCGUGCUUAACACAUGCAAGUCGAACGGGAUUUAGUAAACAGAAGCCUCGGUGGAAGAUUACUAAUGGGAGUGGCGAACGGGUGAGUAACGCGUGAGCAACCUGCCUAUGACAGUGGGAUAGCCUCGGGAAACCGGGAUUAAUACCGCAUAAAAUCGUAGAAACACAUGUUUUAACGGUCAAAGAUUUAUCGGUCAUAGAUGGGCUCGCGUCUGAUUAGCUAGUUGGUGAGAUAACAGCCCACCAAGGCGACGAUCAGUAGCCGGUCUGAGAGGAUGAACGGCCACAUUGGAACUGGGACACGGUCCAAACUCCUACGGGAGGCAGCAGUGGGGAAUAUUGCACAAUGGGGGAAACCCUGAUGCAGCGACGCCGCGUGAACGAAGAAGGUAUUCGUAUCGUAAAGUUCUGUCCUAUGGGAAGAUAAUGACAGUACCAUAGAAGAAAGCUCCGGCUAAAUACGUG
rnacentral:rRNA from 1 species